GCGAGGUUAGUAUAGUGGUAAUACGCCUGCUUCCCAAGCAGGAGCCACGAGUCCGAUUCUCGUACCUCGCU
rnacentral:tRNA from 2 species